rnacentral:tRNA from 1 species
GGGGGUAUAUGUUUGACUGGAGAUCAAGUGGUCCUUGGUUCAAAUCCAAGUGUUCCCU